rnacentral:rRNA from 1 species
AUUGAACGCUGGCGGCAGGCCUAACACAUGCAAGUCGAGCGGAUGAAGGGAGCUUGCUCCUGGAUUCAGCGGCGGACGGGUGAGUAAUGCCUAGGAAUCUGCCUGGUAGUGGGGGAUAACGUCCGGAAACGGGCGCUAAUACCGCAUACGUCCUGAGGGAGAAAGUGGGGGAUCUUCGGACCUCACGCUAUCAGAUGAGCCUAGGUCGGAUUAGCUAGUUGGUGGGGUAAAGGCCUACCAAGGCGACGAUACGUAACUGGUCUGAGGGGAUGAUCAGUUACCAUGGAACUGAGACACGGUCCAGACUCCUACGGGAGGCAGCAGUGGGGAAUAUUGGACGAUGGGCGAAAGCCUGAUCCAGCCAUGCCGCGUGUGUGAAGAAGGUCUUCGGAUUGUAAAGCACUUUAAGUUGGGAGGAAGGGCAGUAAGUUAAUACCUUGCUGUUUUGACGUUACCAACAGAAUAAGCACCGGCUAACUUCGUG